rnacentral:rRNA from 1 species
GACAGAGGGUGCAAACGUUGUUCGGAAUUACUGGGCGUAAAGCGCGUGUAGGCGGCUAAGUAAGUCGGGCGUGAAAUCCCACGGCUCAACCGUGGAAGUGCACUCGAAACUGCGUAGCUAGAGUCCUGGAGAGGAAGGUGGAAUGCUUGGUGUAGAGGUGAAAUUCGUAGAUAUCAAGCGGAACACCGGUGGCGAAGGCGGUCUUCUGGACAGUGACUGACGCUGAGGAGCGAAAGCGUGGGGAGCGAACAGG